AAUAGAUACCCGGGUAGUCCACGCCGUAAACGAUGAGUGCUAAGUGUUAGGGGAUUUCCGCCCCUUAGUGCUGCAGCUAACGCAUUAAGCACUCCGCCUGGGGAGUACGGUCGCAAGACUGAAACUCAAAGGAAUUGACGGGGGCCCGCACAAGCGGUGGAGCAUGUGGUUUAAUUCGAAGCAACGCGAAGAACCUUACCAGGUCUUGACAUCCCAUUGACCGCUAUGGAGACAUGGCUUUCUCUUCGGGGACAGUGGUGACAGGUGGUGCAUGGUUGUCGUCAGCCCGUGUCGUGAGAUGUUGGGUUAAGUCCCGCAACGAGCGCAACCCUUGUUCUUAGUUGCCAUCAUUUAGUUGGGCACUCUAAGGAGACUGCCGGUGACAAACCGGAGGAAGGUGGGGAUGACGUCAAAUCAUCAUGCCCCUUAUGACCUGGGCUACACACGUGCUACAAUGGACGGUACAAACGGUUGCCAACCCGCGAGGGGGAGCUAAUCCGAUAAACCGUUCUCAGUUCGGAUUGUAGGCUGCAACUCGCCUACA
rnacentral:rRNA from 1 species